AUAUUGUUUUAUAUAAAAAUGCUAUAUUUUAAUCAAUAUUUUGAAUAGUAAUUGUUUAAAACGGAAUGUUUAACAACGAUAGUACACAAGAAAGACAAGAAACUGAUACGUAAGCCUUGCGAGGUUUCGAUAGGCAUUCCGGGUAAUGAGUGUCAAUCGGGUCAUCGCGGCGAUUGUCAUGGGCUCGAGGGAGGUUCUGGGUCGUGACAAAGCUAAACCCACCAUACAAUAAAAAUUCAACAGCAUGACAUGGCAAUUUUAUCAUUAUCCAGCUUAUCAAGGCAAACAACAGUUUAUACAUUUCAACACAAAUACCAAUUCAGCCAUUCAUGCCAAUAUUGUCAUAAGCCAAUCAAUUAGAACCAUAAAUUCACAAUACAUCAAAUGGUCUCCAAUUACUCUAUUUUCAAAGCCAUUAUUCAAUUUCAAGACAAUUUUAUAAAAUCAUUUCAUUUAAACACAUUUUGCUUAUAAAACAUAAAGAUUUACCAUUUAAACUCAUUUUUCAUAAAAUCACAAAAUCGAAUAAAAACCACUUCAGAUAAUUAAGAUGAUAGUAAGGUUACUCACUAUUUCAAGAGUCGAAUUCCAAGUACUCUAAUUCUUGAUCCUCGGGUACUAUCUCUUUACUUUUGCCAAAAUCCUCAUCACCUAGACAUAAUGCACAAUAAGCCAUUUACUACAUUUGUGCUAAAUUGUUAUAAAACUAAUUCAGGCUUUAAACUAAUGUAUGAAAUGGGAUGUAAAUUGUUCGAAUUAUUGUCUAAACACAGUUUUCUACACAAAUUUAAUUGUGUACCUAAAUUAAACGGUAUUGGCCUAAUUGAUCUAUCACUCGAUUAAUUAGCCAAUAUGUCCAAUUUAACUCCAAAAAAAUUCCAUUUUUCUCCCAAUACUCCAAAUCAUCAAACACAAAUUAAAUAACUUGAAAUAUGGCAAAAAUCAUCCUCACAUUUUCUCUUGGGAAUUUCGACCAUAGUGGGUGCAUCAAUAUUAUGAUUUUUCCUACUUGAUUUUUUCACCGUAAUUCAUCAUUUCCUAACCAAUUCACUUGAAAUAAAAUCAAAAUCAUCAUCCACACUCUACAUGGAAAAUUCGGCCAAUAAUGGGUGAUGGGAGAAAAUGAAUUUUUCUUGUUUGAUUUUCAUGCUACACAUCACCAACUAACUAAAAACACUAGAAUAUCUUAAAAUCUAACCUAAACAACCAUCAAAUCUUCUCUCUCUAAAUUCGAUCAGCCAUGAAUCCUUCAUGAUAUCUUAUGAUUCAACCAUGAAAAAUGCAAAAUAAUGCAUGGGAAAGGUAGAUCACAAGUCAAAAUCAAGAAAUUUUACCUUUGAUUGCUUGAUUACUGGAAUUUUCACACUUUUCCCUUGAAUUUUUCACCCUAGGGUUCUUGUUCUUUCUUUUCUCCCUUUGUUCUUGCUAUGGCUGGCCAUGAG
rnacentral:lncRNA from 1 species